UACGUAGGGCGCAAGCGUUAUCCGGAAUUAUUGGGCGUAAAGAGCUCGUAGGCGGUUUGUCGCGUCUGCCGUGAAAGUCCGGGGCUCAACUCCGGAUCUGCGGUGGGUACGGGCAGACUAGAGUGAUGUAGGGGAGACUGGAAUUCCUGGUGUAGCGGUGAAAUGCGCAGAUAUCGGGAGGAACACCAAUGGCGAAGGCAGCUCGCUGGGACGUUACUGACGCUGAGGAGCGAAAGCGUGGGGAGCGAACAGG
rnacentral:rRNA from 1 species